GCGGGAAUAGCUCAGUGGUAGAGCACGACCUUGCCAAGGUUGGGGUCGCGGGUUCGAUCCCCGUUUCCCGCUCCA
rnacentral:tRNA from 1 species